GAUGAACGCUAGCGGCAGGCUUAAUACAUGCAAGUCGUGGGGCAGCAUGAAUGUAGCAAUACAUUUGAUGGCGACCGGCAAACGGGUGCGGAACACGUACACAACCUUCCUAUAAGUGGGGAAUAGCCCAGAGAAAUUUGGAUUAAUACCCCGUAACAUAAUGAUAUGGCAUCAUAUUAUUAUAGCUUCGGCGCUUAUUGAUGGGUGUGCGGCUGAUUAGAUAGUUGGCGGGGUAACGGCCCACCAAGUCUACGAUCAGUAGCUGAUGUGAGAGCAUGAUCAGCCACACGGGCACUGAGACACGGGCCCGACUCCUACGGGAGGCAGCAGUAAGGAAUAUUGGUCAAUGGACGCAAGUCUGAACCAGCCAUGCCGCGUGAAGGAUUAAGGUCCUCUGGAUUGUAAACUUCUUUUAUCUGGGACGAAAAAAGGCUUUUCUAAGUCACUUGACGGUACCAGAUGAAUAAGCACCGGCUAACUCCGUGCCAGCAGCCGCGGUAACAC
rnacentral:rRNA from 1 species